rnacentral:rRNA from 1 species
CCUACGUGAGGCAGCAGUGGGGAAUAUUGGACAAUGGGCGAAAGCCUGAUCCAGCCAUGCCGCGUGUGUGCAGAAGGCCUUCGGGUUGUAAAGCACUUUCAGUGGGGAAGAAAGCCUUGGGGCUAAUACCCUCGAGGAAGGACAUCACCCACAGAAGAAGCACCGGCUAACUCCGUGCCAGCAGCCGCGGUAAUACGGAGGGUGCGAGCGUUAAUCGGAAUUACUGGGCGUAAAGCGCGCGUAGGCGGUCUGAUAAGCCGGUUGUGAAAGCCCCGGGCUCAACCUGGGAACGGCAUCCGGAACUGUCAGGCUAGAGUGCAGGAGAGGAAGGUAGAAUUCCCGGUGUAGCGGUGAAAUGCGUAGAGAUCGGGAGGAAUACCAGUGGCGAAGGCGGCCUUCUGGACUGACACUGACGCUGAGGUGCGAAAGCGUGGGUAGCAAACAGGAUUAGAUACCCUUGUAGUC